rnacentral:lncRNA from 1 species
AUGGACAAUGAACAAACGAAGGCUUCAGGAAGACAGGUAACACCACCAUUGACUGAGGUACGAUCAGGGAGGAGGAGAUGCGGUAUGUAUUGCGGAACUACUUUCUUAGGACACACCCUAGAUAAGAACAGUGUACACACUUGUCUUUGUCUUGUUUUCCACUAUUUCAAAGAAGUCUUCUGGCAAUAAGAUUGUGAAUUUAGCAUAAUACCACUAAUGAUACCACAAGAGAUUCAUCAUGGUCAUUUGUAUGUCAUUCCCUCAUUUACCUAGUUGCUGUGAGAUUUGAAUUAGGUGUUUUCUUCCCAAAGAUAACCCAAUUGCUCAACCCAAUUUUCAGCCAGUUUUGUAAAUGAACAAAAAUGAGAGACCAUGCUUUACCUAUAUUAUUUAGUUGAAUCUCAUCAUAGUUGUGUUUGGUGGAAUCAUUUGUCAGCAUACCCUGGUACAAAAGAACCAACCAUGAUUCAGGCAUAAACGUGACAUUCCUAGAUAUAACUUCCAUCUAUCAACUCAUCAAGACUUAGGUAUCCAAUAUAGAAGAGUCCUAGCUCUUCAUAAUAACCCCCAAACAAGUCUAGCCUAUGGAGAGCUCAAGGAACCCCACAGCUGCUCCAGUGGUAGAACCCAAAUGUAGUUUCUACCUAUCAGGCUGCAGAUAUUCAUGGCCCAGAAAGACAGAGAAAGCUCAGGUGUGCUGGGUUUUGUAUUUGUUUUGCUUUGUUUUGUUGUGUUUCAUUUUCAGCACAGUUAGUUGAAUACCAGACUGUCAUGAGCAAGAUUUGAUGCUCUAUUUUGGAGAAACAAGGGUGUUGGAAUGUAGGUUUGUAGUCCUACUGUACUAGAAGGGAUGUGAGGUUGUUGACUUUACUGUCAUCUUCAGCCUUGGGCAUUUUCUGACCAUUCUGGGCUGUGCCAUGAGACGGUGCCUGAAAACGUUAAUUAUUAUAAUGACACCACCAAAAUCAACAUCAAUAUCAUCAACAGCACCAAAUAAAGAAAAAACCCCCACCUGUUCCUAGCCA